rnacentral:lncRNA from 1 species
GGGCAGGACACUGGGAACAGGGACUGUCGGCCAGGGCAUUUGGGUAGGGGUUGGCUAUAGUCAGCAAGGGCGCAUUACUUAGACCAGGCCUGACGUGGGGAUGAAUGGAGAUCCAGGGCUGCUAGAUCCCAUGGCCUGCAUCAAGGCAGGGACUUAGACAGUGGAGCAAUGAAACACUCACCUUCAUCCUGGCAUGCGACAGCCGUUUAGGAUGGCCCAUCUCACUUGCUCCUUUGCCAUGGUGCCCCAGGCCUUCCACAAGUCAGAAAUGUUCCUGGCUCUCCCACAGG